UUGGUGCUUCCUGUGGCCGACGUCAUCUGGAGGAGAUUUGCUUUCCUUUUCUCCAAAAGGGGAGAAAGUUGAAACUGAGUGGCCCACGAUGGGAAGAGGGGAAGCCCAGGGGUACAGGAGGCCUCUGGGUGAAGGCAGAGCCUAACAUGGGGUUCAAAGCAACCUUGGCUGUUGGCCUGCCCAUCUUUGUGCUGUCUGUCGUCACUAUCAUCAUCUGCUUCACCUGCUCCUGCUGCUUUCUGUACAAGACGUGCCGCCGACCAUGUCCCUCCAAGUGUGCUGCCCAGCUACCCUGGACCAAGCUACCAGGGCUACCACACCAUGCCGCCUCAGUCAGGGAUGCCAGCAGCACCCUACCCAAUGCAGUACCCACCACCUUACCCGGCCCUGCUCAUGGGCCCACCGGCCUACCACAAGACCCUGGCUGGAGGAGCAGCCGCGCCCUACCCUGCCAGCCAGCCUCCUUACAACCCAGCCUACAUGGAUGCCCCCAAGGCGCCCCUCUGAGCAUCCCCCAGCCUCUCUGGCUGCCACUUGGUUAUGUUGUGUGUGUGUGAGUGGUGUGCAGGCACGGUUCCUUACGGCCCAUGUGUGCUGUGUGUGUCCUGCCUGUAUAUGUGGCUUCCUCUGAUGCUGAUGAGGUGGGGAACGAUCCUUGCCAGAGUGGGCUGGGACCAGACUUUGUUUUCUUCCUCACCUUAAAUUAUGCUUCCUAAAAAUCUCAAGCCAAACUCAAAGAAUGGGGUGGUGGGGGCACCCUGUGAGGUGGCCCCUGAGAGGUAGGGGGUUCUCCAGAGCACAUCUGGAGUUCUUCUCCAGCUUACCCUAGGGUGACCAAGUAUGGCCUGUCACACCAGAAUGGCGCAGCUUUCUGUAUGAUGCAGAUGUGUCCUGGUUUCAGCAGCGUAGCCAGCUGCUGCUGGAGG